GAUGAACGCUGGCGGCGUGCCUAAUACAUGCAAGUCGAGCGAACAGACGAGGAGCUUGCUCCUCUGACGCUAGCGGCGGACGGGUGAGUAACACGUGGAUAACCUACCUAUAAGACUGGGAUAACUUCGGGAAACCGGAGCUAAUACCGGAUAAUAUAUUGAACCGCAUGGUUCAAUAGUGAAAGACGGUUUUGCUGUCACUUAUAGAUGGAUCCGCGCCGCAUUAGCUAGUUGGUAAGGUAACGGCUUACCAAGGCAACGAUGCGUAGCCGACCUGAGAGGGUGAUCGGCCACACUGGAACUGAGACACGGUCCAGACUCCUACGGGAGGCAGCAGUAGGGAAUCUUCCGCAAUGGGCGAAAGCCUGACGGAGCAACGCCGCGUGAAUGAUGAAGGUCUUCGGAUCGUAAAACUCUGUUAUUAGGGAAGAACAAAUGUGUAAGUAACUAUGCACGUCUUGACGGUACCUAAUCAGAAUGCCACGGCUAACUACGUG
rnacentral:rRNA from 1 species